CUUUGCCUUGAAGAACGAAUUUUCCCCAAUAACGAAAGGAAACAACAACAAAGGAAACAAAAAUUCUCUCACCAUUUGGAACCCUAAAAAUCGCCUGCAACUUUGCCCGACCGAAAUCCAGCUCCGGCCGACCGACCGACGAGUCGCCUCUGUGAAGAACACCUCCGGCAGCCCGAUCGACGAAUCGCCACAGCAACAACCACAUCCGACAGCCUGUCUUGCUUCCCUUUUUUAUGGAAUCGAGACGUCAUAACCAUCUCUUCCCCAUUUUUAGUCUGUGGAAUAGUGUCCACCCAGUAUCUGAUAUCUUUUACCAUCAGGUAAGCCAAAAUUCAUUUCGUAUUUUAGUUGUUUCCAGAAGCUGGUGUUGUUUGGUAAUUUACGGAAUAUAGUGGUGUGAAUGGAAGAUUAUGAUUAUGAACGUUGGGCAAAAAUUCAAUUUGCGAAAUUCGAUUUCUGGAAACUUUAGAAUUUGUGCAGCAUUC
rnacentral:lncRNA from 1 species